CCUACGGGAGGCAGCAGUGGGGAAUAUUGGACAAUGGGGGGAACCCUGAUCCAGCCAUGCCGCGUGUGUGAAGAAGGCCCUCGGGUUGUAAAGCACUUUCAGCGGGGAAGAACGCCUGGUGGUUAAUACCCAUCAGGAAAGACAUCACUCACAGAAGAAGCACCGGCUAACUCCGUGCCAGCAGCCGCGGUAAUACGGAGGGUGCGAGCGUUAAUCGGAAUUACUGGGCGUAAAGCGCGCGUAGGUGGCUUGAUAAGCCGGUUGUGAAAGCCCCGGGCUCAACCUGGGAACGGCAUCCGGAACUGUCAAGCUAGAGUGCAGGAGAGGAAGGUAGAAUUCCCGGUGUAGUGGUGAAAUGCGUAGAGAUCGGGAGGAAUACCAGUGGCGAAGGCGGCCUUCUGGACUGACACUGACACUGAGGUGCGAAAGCGUGGGUAGCAAACAGGAUUAGAUACCCCUGUAGUC
rnacentral:rRNA from 1 species